UCCGAGUUCACCCCGGCAGUCUCCCAUAAGUCCCCGACACAACUCGCUGGCAAUAUAGGACAAGGGUUGCGCUCGUUGCGGGACUUAACCCAACAUCUCACGACACGAGCUGACGACAACCAUGCACCACCUGUACACCCCCAACCAAAUGACCCCACAUCUCUGUGAGUCCAGGGUGUAUGUCAAAUCCUGGUAAGGUUCUUCGCGUUGCAUCGAAUUAAGCCGCAUGCUCCGCCGCUUGUGCGGGCCCCCGUCAAUUCCUUUGAGUUUUAGCCUUGCGGCCGUACUCCCCAGGCGGGGCGCUUAAAGCGUUAGCUACGGCACAGAAAACAUCACGUCCCCCACACCUAGCGCCCAACGUUUACAGCGUGGACUAC
rnacentral:misc_RNA from 1 species